rnacentral:lncRNA from 1 species
CUUUUUUAUUCUACUUAACUCUUUCUUCUCUCGGAUGGAAUUAAUAAACAACGAUGCCUGAUAUUAAAAUGCUUUCGGCACAACUAGGAAUCGAUCCUAGCUUUACGCCCUUGCAACACUUUGUUUUUACCACUAGACCAUCUCGCUUACACUUGCUUUAACUUCUUUUUUAUUUUACUUAACUCUUUCUCGUCUCGGAUGGAAUUAAUAAACAACGAUGCCUGAUAUUAAAAUGCUUUCGACAGAAACAAAAAUCGAUCCUGGCUUUACACACUUGCAACACUUCGUCCUUACCACUAGACAAUCUCGCCUACACUUGCUUUAACUCCUUUUUUAUUCUACUUAACUCUUUCUCGUCUCGGAUGGAAUUAAUAAACAACGAUGCCUGAUAUUAAAAUGCUUUCGGCACAACCAGGAAUCGAUCCUGGCUUUACGCCCUUGCAACACUUUGUUUUUAC